AUGAAGGCUGGGAGAGGGACCCUGGAUGUCUGCCUGGCCAAGCAGUCACAAGGAGGUGACCCGGACAAACUAGCAUGUGGCCUUAAGAAAAGAAGUCAGAAGAGGAACCCCAGCCCAUCAGUUGUGCCUUCUUGGACAGACCAGCCUGUAGCAGAUAGCCAUGGGCCACCGCGGCGGCAGCCUCAGAAAUGAAGCAUGGUCAGAGCAAGGCCAGCCUCCUGCGUUAUGGUGGCUUCAAAGUGCUUCAGUCUCUGAAGGGAUCAAUGGGGAGAAAUUCAACCCCAGCAGCCUCCCUCGGCAAGGCUGUGGCUCUGUCCCCUGCUCCUUCAGAAGAACAACUAGCCGGGAUGUCCCGUGGCAUCGGGGAUGCACUAGGAAGUGACUGGCCAGGAAGAGAGCCCAGAGCCACAGACAACCGUGGACAGUACCUCAAAGGAGAGUCCUGGGUGUCAGGAUGGCCAGGCCAUCCAAAACCGAGGGAAGUGGGAUUCCUAAGAGGUGAACCACUAAGUGCUGUCCCCAAGGGGCUAGGCACCUGGUCAGAACUGUCUCAGCGAUACUCUGAGCUGUGCCAGCUGCCAUAUGCUUACCUCUAUUAUAAAGUUCUCCCAGAAGACGAGCUGAGGCGUGUGUCCCUUGACUGUUUCAAUCCCGUGCUUUCAGAGGAAACAGUAGAAGAUGAGAAAACUCUCGAGUAAUUCAGAUGGUCCGCAGAUAGUCGUAGGGUCACUGGCUCCGCAAUCUUCCAGAGUAGCAAGUCUCUGAUGCCAUAGU
rnacentral:lncRNA from 1 species